GCCUCCGUUUCUUCCCAAUUACAUCUUCUGUUGCUUGCUUCUCUGCCAUUUUCGUGCCUUCAAACCGAGCCUCUUAUGAACUCAACGAUCAAUCUUCAAUUCUUAACUCAAAUCCUAAAUUAUUCUUGAUGUAAUCUUAAAUCCAUGACAACCCCUUUCAAUAGCCAUCGAUUCCAAUCACCAGAACCUAUUAUUCAUCACAUCUCCAAUUACUUCUCAAACCCUAACUGCAAUCUCGAGUUCAAACUAAACCCUUGUCUUACUUAAGGUUUCUAGGUGCUGUAAAUUCGAUCAGUGAGGUGCUGGUGAUGGAUGGUGGUAAUCUUCGAUGAUUGAAUUUUUGAUAGCUAUGUAGUAUGAUUCAAUCGGAUUCUGAAAUGGAUGAGUUAAGCUUCACAGGGAGAAAUCAGAUGGAGGAAUUGGUGAAUGUUGAUGAAGAAUUAGGGUUUGGUGGAUCUCCUAAUCAGCAUGUUGGUGGUCCAUAACGGUGCAACCAUUAUAGAGACUUGGGGAGGGAAUGGGACUGUAAAUGGAAUCAACUCGACUAGGAACCCCAGUACUUUGUCCAAAAUAGAUGAUUUCUGCUUUGCACUUGGAGCACGGCCAGUUCACAGUAUCUUAACUGCGAACAAUGGGAUGGCAGCCGUGAAAUUCAUUUGAAGUAUAAGAACGUGGGCAUAUGAAGCAUUUGCAACUGAGAAAGCAAUUUUGCUGGUUGCGGUGGCCACUCCAAAGGACAUGAGAAUUAAUACUGAACAUAUUAGAAUCGCUGACCAGUUUGUGGAAGUUCCAAGUGGAACUAACAACAAUAAUUAUGCUAAUGUUCAGCUCAUUGUGGAGGACAUUAAUUUCAGGGUUAGUGCUCUGGCGGAGAUGUUGCAGCCUGCAUGGUUUUACACAGGUUGCUAAUGAAGUGAGGUUCACAGUAGGGCCUAAAGAUUAUAAGUUUUUCAUGGAAAAAAAAUUCUGGGGAAUGCCUGCGAAGAAUCCAUUUAGCUUUUUCACUGCAAUUAUUGAUGCUGUGCUUGGUGCAUUGAAAAUUAUGCAUGUUGAUACUACGUGAAAAAUUAUUUCUUUGGUACUCAAAGGACUUGAUCCCGCUGCUUAUGUUAUGCCCUGACUAUAUAUAAGAGAGGAAUCAGUAAGUAAUAAGAUAUUGGGUGGAGUUGGAUGUGCGUUUUUAAGGGCCACCCGAAAGGAUUUAGGGGCCAUCAAUUUAUACCCAGCCAAAGACUCUAGUUAAGGGGUACCCUAUAUGAUAUUGAAGUUACAUAAAUGUCCUUCUGGUAAAAUUCUACUCAUUUCAACUCUUCUUCUUCCAGUUUCAUAUUAUCUUCCGAUUGUGGAAGAAAAAAAAACUUUCCCUCGUUCUUGUGUUCAACCGAAACAUCGCCGCGAAUCGUAAAAUCAAACAUCGUCGAUUCGUUUAUAAAACAAUGGAUAAGGGAAAUG